rnacentral:rRNA from 2 species
UAAGUGACUAAGCGUACACGGUGGAUGCCUUGGCAGUCAGAGGCGAUGAAAGACGUAGUAACUUGCGAUAAGCCCAGAUUAGGUAGUAACAACCAUUUGAGUCUGGGAUUUCUGAAUGGGGAAACCCACGUGCAUAAGCACGUAUCCUUACCUGAAUACAUAGGGUAAGGAGGCGAACCGGGGGAACUGAAACAUCUAAGUACCCCGAGGAAAAGAAAUCAACCGAGAUUCCGAAAGUAGCGGCGAGCGAAAUUGGACUAGCCCUUAAGCUUUACACGUGUUAGACGAACGGUCUGGAAAGUCCGACGAUACAGGGUGAUAGUCCCGUAGUUGACGACGUGUGUUCAGUGAAAUCGAGUAGGGCGGGACACGUGAUAUCCUGUCUGAAUAUGGGGGGACCAUCCUCCAAGGCUAAAUACUACUGACUGACCGAUAGUGAACCAGUACCGUGAGGGAAAGGCGAAAAGAACCCCUGUGAGGGGAGUGAAAUAGAACCUGAAACCGUGUACGUACAAGCAGUAGGAGCAGGCUUUGUCCUGUGACUGCGUACCUUUUGUAUAAUGGGUCAGCGACUUAUAUUCAGUGGCAAGGUUAACCAUCUAGGGGAGCCGUAGGGAAACCGAGUCUUAACUGGGCGUUCAGUCUCUGGAUAUAGACCCGAAACCAGGUGAUCUAGCCAUGGGCAGGUUGAAGGUUGAGUAACAUCAACUGGAGGACCGAACCGACUAAUGUUGAAAAAUUAGCGGAUGACUUGUGGCUAGGGGUGAAAGGCCAAUCAAACCUGGAGAUAGCUGGUUCUCCCCGAAAGCUAUUUAGGUAGCGCCUCGGACGAAUACUACUGGGGGUAGAGCACUGUUAAGGCUAGGGGGUCAUCCCGACUUACCAACCCUUUGCAAACUCCGAAUACCAGUAAGUACUAUCCGGGAGACACACGGCGGGUGCUAACGUCCGUCGUGGAGAGGGAAACAACCCAGACCGCCAGCUAAGGUCCCAAAUUACUACUAAGUGGGAAACGAUGUGGGAAGGCUCAGACAGCCAGGAUGUUGGCUUAGAAGCAGCCAUCAUUUAAAGAAAGCGUAAUAGCUCACUGGUCGAGUCGGCCUGCGCGGAAGAUGUAACGGGGCUAAGUAGUAAACCGAAGCUGCGGCAAUGUGCUUUUGCACAUUGGGUAGGGGAGCGUUCUGUAAGCGGUUGAAGGUGUGUGGUAACGCAUGCUGGACGUAUCAGAAGUGCGAAUGCUGACAUGAGUAACGAUAAAGGGGGUGAAAAACCUCCUCGCCGGAAGACCAAGGGUUCCUGUCCAACGUUAAUCGGGGCAGGGUAAGUCGACCCCUAAGGCGAGGCCGAAAGGCGUAGUCGAUGGGAAACGGGUUAAUAUUCCCGUACUUCUUACAAUUGCGAUGGGGGGACGGAGAAGGCUAGGUGGGCCUGGCGACGGUUGUCCAGGUUCAAGUGCGUAGGCUUGAGAGUUAGGUAAAUCCGGCUCUUUUUAAGGCUGAGACACGACGUCGAGCCACUACGGUGGUGAAGUCAUUGAUGCCAUGCUUCCAGGAAAAGCCUCUAAGCUUCAGAUUGUAAGGAAUCGUACCCCAAACCGACACAGGUGGUCGGGUAGAGAAUACCAAGGCGCUUGAGAGAACUCGGGUGAAGGAACUAGGCAAAAUGGUACCGUAACUUCGGGAGAAGGUACGCUCUCGACGGUGAAGUCCCUCGCGGAUGGAGCUAUUGAGAGUCGCAGAUACCAGGUGGCUGCAACUGUUUAUUAAAAACACAGCACUGUGCAAAAUCGUAAGAUGACGUAUACGGUGUGACGCCUGCCCGGUGCCGGAAGGUUAAUUGAUGGGGUUAGACUUCGGUCGAAGCUCUUGAUCGAAGCCCCGGUAAACGGCGGCCGUAACUAUAACGGUCCUAAGGUAGCGAAAUUCCUUGUCGGGUAAGUUCCGACCUGCACGAAUGGCGUAAUGAUGGCCACGCUGUCUCCACCCGAGACUCAGUGAAAUUGAAAUCGCUGUGAAGAUGCAGUGUACCCGCGGCUAGACGGAAAGACCCCGUGAACCUUUACUACAGCUUGGCACUGAACAUUGACCCUACAUGUGUAGGAUAGGUGGGAGGCUUUGAAGCACGUACGCCAGUAUGUGUGGAGCCGUCCUUGAAAUACCACCCUUGUAGUGUUGAUGUUCUAACGUCGACCCCUUAUCGGGGUUGCGGACAGUGCCUGGUGGGUAGUUUGACUGGGGCGGUCUCCUCCCAAAGAGUAACGGAGGAGCACGAAGGUGGGCUAAUCACGGUUGGACAUCGUGAGGUUAGUGCAAUGGCAUAAGCCCGCUUGACUGCGAGAAUGACAAUUCGAGCAGGUGCGAAAGCAGGUCAUAGUGAUCCGGUGGUUCUGAAUGGAAGGGCCAUCGCUCAACGGAUAAAAGGUACUCCGGGGAUAACAGGCUGAUACCGCCCAAGAGUUCAUAUCGACGGCGGUGUUUGGCACCUCGAUGUCGGCUCAUCACAUCCUGGGGCUGAAGUCGGUCCCAAGGGUAUGGCUGUUCGCCAUUUAAAGUGGUACGCGAGCUGGGUUUAGAACGUCGUGAGACAGUUCGGUCCCUAUCUGCCGUGGGCGUUGGAAGAUUGAAGGGGGCUGCUCCUAGUACGAGAGGACCGGAGUGGACGAACCUCUGGUGUUCGGGUUGUGUCGCCAGACGCAUUGCCCGGUAGCUAAGUUCGGAAUCGAUAACCGCUGAAAGCAUCUAAGCGGGAAGCGAGCCCUGAGAUGAGUCUUCCCUGAUACUUUAAGUAUCCUAAAGGGUUGUCGGAGACUACGACGUUGAUAGGUCAGGUGUGUAAGUGCUGUGAGGCAUUGAGCUAACUGAUACUAAUUGCCCGUGAGGCUUAACCA